AAGUUUCGUGAAAGGCCGAGCAUUGAUGGCAAUAGCAAAGACAACUACACAAAAAGGAAUCAUCAGCUCUUGUAUUUCUCCAAGCACUCCGAGAUGCCCCGCGUCCCACAGCCUCCGCCAGUUGUUUACCAAUGCAACAAAUGGCACAGCGGUGUUUCCUUUAUACCAUGUCCCGAAGUCCUGGUGAGAAAGGAAGAGCAAAAACAUUGACUGACCUUCAAUGCCUAAAGUACCCUGCCUUUAUGCCAAAGUUGACUUUUCUGUAUCUACAUUUACUGAGGUAUUAAAAUGAAUUAGCAAAUGCUUAA